rnacentral:rRNA from 1 species
GUAGGUGGCAAGCGUUGUCCGGAAUUAUUGGGCGUAAAGCGCGCGCAGGCGGUUCUUUAAGUCUGAUGUGAAAGCCCACGGCUCGACCGUGGAGGGUCAUUGGAAACUGGAGAACUUGAGUACAGAAGAGGAAAGCGGAAUUCCACGUGUAGCGGUGAAAUGCGUAGAGAUGUGGAGGAACACCAGUGGCGAAGGCGGCUUUCUGGUCUGUAACUGACGCUGAGGCGCGAAAGCGUGGGGAGCAAACAGGAUUAGAUACCCUGGUAGUCCACGCCGUAAACGAUGAGUGCUAAGUGUUAGGGGGUUUUCCGCCCCCCUUAGUGCUGCAGCUAACGCAUUAAGCACUCCGCCUGGGAGUACGGCCGCAAGGCUG